UGUCUAUUAAUUGUAGACCGGCAUGAAUGGCAAAAUGAGGGUCUAACUGUCUCUUAUAGUAAAUCAAUUAAACUGAUCUCCUAGUAAAAAAGCUAGAAUAAUAACAUAAGACCAGAAGACCCUGUGAAGCUUAAACUAAACCAUUAAAUCAAAUAAUGAUUACUUUCGGUUGGGGCGACCCUGGAAUAAAAAAGAACUUCCANUCUAUGUACCCAUACAACAGGCCCACAAGCCAUACAUUUGACCCAGCACCGCUGAUAAUCGAACCAAGUUACUCCAGGGAUAACAGCGCCAUCUUCUUCAAGAGCCCAUAUCAAAAAGAAGGUUUACGACCUCGAUGUUGGAU
rnacentral:rRNA from 1 species